rnacentral:rRNA from 1 species
CCUACGGGGGGCAGCAGUGGGGAAUAUUGGACAAUGGGGGGAACCCUGAUCCAGCCAUGCCGCGUGUGUGAAGAAGGCCCUCGGGUUGUAAAGCACUUUCAGUGAGGAAGAACGCCUGGUGGUUAAUACCCAUCAGGAAAGACAUCACUCACAGAAGAAGCACCGGCUAACUCCGUGCCAGCAGCCGCGGUAAUACGGAGGGUGCGAGCGUUAAUCGGAAUUACUGGGCGUAAAGCGCGCGUAGGUGGCUUGAUAAGCCGGUUGUGAAAGCCCCGGGCUCAACCUGGGAACGGCAUCCGGAACUGUCAAGCUAGAGUGCAGGAGAGGAAGGUAGAAUUCCAGGUGUAGCGGUGAAAUGCGUAGAGAUCGGGAGGAAUACCAGUGGCGAAGGCGGCCUUCUGGACUGACACUGACACUGAGGUGCGAAAGCGUGGGUAGCAAACAGGAUUAGAUACCCGAGUAGUC